GACGAACGCUGGCGGCGUGCUUAACACAUGCAAGUCGAACGGAAAGGCCCUGCUUUUGUGGGGUGCUCGAGUGGCGAACGGGUGAGUAACACGUGAGUAACCUGCCCUUGACUUUGGGAUAACUUCGGGAAACUGGGGCUAAUACCGGAUAGGAGCUCCUGCUGCAUGGUGGGGGUUGGAAAGUUUCGGCGGUUGGGGAUGGACUCGCGGCUUAUCAGCUUGUUGGUGGGGUAGUGGCUUACCAAGGCUUUGACGGGUAGCCGGCCUGAGAGGGUGGCCGGCCACAUUGGGACUGAGAUACGGCCCAGACUCCUACGGGAGGCAGCAGUGGGGAAUAUUGCACAAUGGGCGGAAGCCUGAUGCAGCAACGCCGCGUGCGGGAUGACGGCCUUCGGGUUGUAAACCGCUUUCGCCUGUGACGAAGCGUGAGUGACGGUAAUGGGUAAAGAAGCACCGGCUAACUACGUG
rnacentral:rRNA from 1 species